rnacentral:rRNA from 2 species
CUCACCGAUAAAGAGUUGAGUGGCGAACGGGUGAGUAACACGUGGGCAACCUGCCCAAAAGAGGGGGAUAACACUUGGAAACAGGUGCUAAUACCGCAUAACCAUAGUUACCGCAUGGUAACUAUGUAAAAGGUGGCUAUGCUACCGCUUUUGGAUGGGCCCGCGGCGCAUUAGCUAGUUGGUGGGGUAAAGGCUUACCAAGGCAAUGAUGCGUAGCCGAACUGAGAGGUUGAUCGGCCACAUUGGGACUGAGACACGGCCCAAACUCCUACGGGAGGCAGCAGUAGGGAAUCUUCCACAAUGGGCGAAAGCCUGAUGGAGCAACGCCGCGUGGGUGAAGAAGGUCUUCGGAUCGUAAAACCCUGUUGUUAGAGAAGAAAGUGCGUGAGAGUAACUGUUCACGUUUCGACGGUAUCUAACCAGAAAGCCACGGCUAACUACGUGCCAGCAGCCGCGGUAAUACGUAGGUGGCAAGCGUUAUCCGGAUUUAUUGGGCGUAAAGGGAACGCAGGCGGUCUUUUAAGUCUGAUGUGAAAGCCUUCGGCUUAACCGGAGUAGUGCAUUGGAAACUGGGAGACUUGAGUGCAGAAGAGGAGAGUGGAACUCCAUGUGUAGCGGUGAAAUGCGUAGAUAUAUGGAAGAACACCAGUGGCGAAAGCGGCUCUCUGGUCUGUAACUGACGCUGAGGUUCGAAAGCGUGGGUAGCAAACAGGAUUAGAUACCCUGGUAGUCCACGCCGUAAACGAUGAAUGCUAAGUGUU